rnacentral:piRNA from 1 species
UGACAUGGAUUCUGAGUCAGUUGCUUUAU